GAUGCUGAUGCUGCUGCU
rnacentral:miRNA from 1 species